rnacentral:rRNA from 1 species
GAUGAACGCUGGCGGCGUGCCUAAUACAUGCAAGUCGAGCGAACAGACGAGGAGCUUGCUCCUUUGACGUUAGCGGCGGACGGGUGAGUAACACGUGGGUAACCUACCUAUAAGACUGGGAUAACUUCGGGAAACCGGAGCUAAUACCGGAUAAUAUUUCGAACCGCAUGGUUCGAUAGUGAAAGAUGGCUUUGCUAUCACUUAUAGAUGGACCUGCGCCGUAUUAGCUAGUUGGUAAGGUAACGGCUUACCAAGGCAACGAUACGUAGCCGACCUGAGAGGGUGAUCGGCCACACUGGAACUGAGACACGGUCCAGACUCCUACGGGAGGCAGCAGUAGGGAAUCUUCCCGCAUGGGCGAAAGCCUGACGGAGCAACGCCGCGUGAGUGAUGAAGGUCUUCGGAUCGUAAAACUCUGUUAUUUAGGAAGACAAACGUGUAAGUAACUGUGCACGUCUUGACGGUACCUAAUCAGAAAGCCACGGCUAACUACGUGCCAGCAGCCGCGGUAUACGUAAGUGGCAAGCGUUAUCGGGAAUUAUUGGCGUAAAGCGCGCGUUAGCGGUUUUUUAGUCUGAUGUGAAAGCCCACGGCUCAACCGUGGAGGGUCAUUGGAAACUGGAAAACUUGAGUGCAGAAGAGGAAAGUGGAAUUCCAUGUGUAGCGGUGAAAUGCGCAGAGAUAUGGAGGAACACCAGUGGCGAAGGCGACUUUCUGGUCUGUAACUGACGCUGAUGUGCGAAAGCGUGGGGAUCAAACAGGAUUAGAUACCCUGGUAGUCCACGCCGUAAACGAUGAGUGCUAAGUGUUAGGGGGUUUCCGCCCCUUAGUGCUGCAGCUAACGCAUUAAGCACUCCGCCUGGGGAGUACGACCGCAAGGUUGAAACUCAAUGGAAUUGACGGGGACCCGCACAAGCGGUGGAGCAUGUGGUUUAAUUCGAAGCAACGCGAAGAACCUUACCAAAUCUUGACAUCCUUUGACCCUUCUAGAGAUAGAAGUUUCCCCUUCGGGGGACAAAGUGACAGGUGGUGCAUGGUUGUCGUCAGCUCGUGUCGUGAGAUGUUGGGUUAAGUCCCGCAACGAGCGCAACCCUUAAGCUUAGUUGCCAUCAUUAAGUUGGGCACUCUAAGUUGACUGCCGGUGACAAACCGGAGGAAGGUGGGGAUGACGUCAAAUCAUCAUGCCCCUUAUGAUUUGGGCUACACACGUGCUACAAUGGACAAUACAAAGGGCAGCGAAACCGCGAGGUCAAGCAAAUCCCAUAAAGUUGUUCUCAGUUCGGAUUGUAGUCUGCAACUCGACUACAUGAAGCUGGAAUCGCUAGUAAUCGUAGAUCAGCAUGCUACGGUGAAUACGUUCCCGGGUCU